UGGCCGCGUGUGCGCGCGCGCGCGUUUGUGUGUGUGUGUGUCGAGGAGCACAUGGACGACUUUGGACGAGAUUUAGCAGGGCUGCUAAUUAACACAGCCCAUCGCCUGGGGCUAAAUGGGCCACGCAAAACGCGUUUUAACACCGGAAACACGGCCACGGGGUCGUGUUUCAUACCAGACGAGGAUAAAAACGCGGCACCUCCUGAGAGCGACCAUUACAUGAUCCUAUUACUCCACACGAGGCGGAAUUGGAACAGGGCUGGAGUUUGAUUGAGCAUAGUGCCAACAGUGAUUUUUCUGGAAUUUCUGGGUCAGACUGUCAUCCAUGCUUGAAAUCACGUCUCCUUGUGCUAACGGCUCAGCAAAGAUCCAGGAGCUGCAUUAUCCUGAUCAAUGACUGCAGGGAACACUGGGUGCGAGGCGGGAGUGCAGUCUGGAGGGAACCCCAGUUCGGUGUGAAUAUGUUUCACAGACACUAAUCUCUAAACUAAGCUCACACUACGCUUAACCCGCAUAAGGAUGAGUAUAAGGAUCUAAAUGUAAUUAAUGAUGUGCUGUAAUAAUUACUUGCUCUGAAUUUGUCCAGGAUGCGUUAUAACCAGAAUUACAUAACACUACCCUCUUGAUUAGAACGAACAGAUGAGUGCAGUGCCAGAUGUUGUUAUAAAAAGUGUUUAAAACUGUCAAUUUGUCAAUAGAGAUUUUGCACUGUUCAUUUAACUUUAAUGGUAUAAGUGCUUAUAGCAAUUCUAUAUGCACAUGAGCACAUACAUACUGUAUACACAUAAACUGUGUACUGUAAUUUAUAUUACAGAUACAAGUGAUUUAUCAGUAAUCAUCCUUUGGUUCUGUUGUGUUCCCUCUGUGCCAUGUUUUUUUUUAUGAGCACACACUGUUAGAAACUUUUUAAUUGGUUAAUUAACCCUUAGCAAAUCCUUUUUUGUGCCAAAAUAAACAUGCAGAAUUGUCUUUAUCGGUUGUUAAAAGGUGUGCAUGUAGGCCAUUAGUUAAUUAUUUGAUAAUGUUCUGUUUACACGUUUUUGGCGACACUUUUUAUGUUUCCAUGUUUUAUAUUUAUAUAAUAAAUGUUAUCUUCCAUGUUA